rnacentral:lncRNA from 1 species
AUAUUUUAGACCGUUCUUCUUUACAAGUAAAACUAAAAUGGCGUCAGCUGGAGAAAACACUGGUGGUACAACGGAGUCUUCAACUCAAAGUCCUUCUGUGAGUCAUCUGGAGGAUCUUGAUGGGCGGAUCUCCGAAAGAGAAGAGCAGAUGGAGCUCUGCACUAUGAUCCUGAACGACCUGCUGGAAAUUCAGAAAAUAGUUGCUAAAAGAGGACUUGAAAAUACAACAUUUAAACCAGAUAACUGAGCUGCUUGUUAAAUUAUGAUCUGAAACUUCUGCGUAUGAAUAAAGUCUUGAAAUGAAUUCUUGAUAUUAA